CAGCCGCCGCGGUAAUACGUAGGGUGCAAGCGUUAAUCGGAAUUACUGGGCGUAAAGCGUGCGCAGGCGGUUUGUUAAGACAGAUGUGGAAUCCCCGGGCUCAACCUGGGAACUGCAUUUGUGACUGGCAAGCUAGAGUGUGGCAGAGGGGGGUGGAAUUCCGCGUGUAGCAGUGAAAUGCGUAGAUAUGCGGAGGAACACCGAUGGCGAAGGCAGCCCCCUGGGCCAACACUGACGCUCAUGCACGAAAGCGUGGGGAGCAAACAGGAUUAGAUACCCCUGUAGUCCCUGUCUCUUAUAC
rnacentral:rRNA from 1 species